rnacentral:rRNA from 1 species
CNCNNUNGUACGUACGUGACCUGCGGAGGAUCAUUACCUAGAGUUUGCAGACUUCGGUCUGCUACCUCUUACCCAUGUCUUUUGAGUACCUUCGUUUCCUCGGCGGGUCCGCCCGCCGGUUGGACAACAUUCAAACCCUUUGCAGUUGCAAUCAGCGUCUGAAAAAACAUAAUAGUUACAACUUUCAACAACGGAUCUCUUGGUUCUGGCAUCGAUGAAGAACGCAGCGAAAUGCGAUAAGUAGUGUGAAUUGCAGAAUUCAGUGAAUCAUCGAAUCUUUGAACGCACAUUGCGCCCCUUGGUAUUCCAUGGGGCAUGCCUGUUCGAGCGUCAUUUGUACCUUCAAGCUCUGCUUGGUGUUGGGUGUUUUGUCUCGCCUCCGCGUGUAGACUCGCCUUAAAACAAUUGGCAGCCGGCGUAUUGAUUUCGGAGCGCAGUACAUCUCGCGCUUUGCACUCAUAACGACGACGUCCAAAAGUACAUUUUUACACUCUUGACCUCGGAUCAGGUAGGGAUACCCGCUGAACUUAAGCAUAUCAAAA